UACGUAGGUGGCAAGCGUUGUCCGGAUUUACUGGGCGUAAGGAGCGCGCAGGCGGUCGUUCAAGUCGCGUGUGAAAGCCCCCGGCUCAACUGGGGAGGGUCACGCGAUACUGAUCGACUCGAAGGCAGGAGAGGGUAGUGGAAUUCCCGGUGUAGUGGUGAAAUGCGUAGAUAUCGGGAGGAACACCAGUGGCGAAGGCGACUACCUGGCCUGUUCUUGACGCUGAGGCGCGAAAGCUGAGGGGAGCAAACGGGG
rnacentral:rRNA from 1 species